rnacentral:lncRNA from 1 species
CUGAUCUCAGCAUCUGAGAAGGAAAAGUAACAGAGUUUCAGGGAUCAAUAGAGCAGAGGUAGGAAGCUACUGGAAGGACAUGGAAGGAAUCAGUUGCCCAUGCCUCCAAUUCAGGCUUGUAGGACAGUUACAGAGAUGUCCAUAUCCAUAAGCCUGGGGCAGGGAGACCUAUGGGGAAGCACAUGUCACUCACCUUCCCAUCUCCUCCUGAGAUUAUCUGCUUCUGGUCAGUUGUGAGGGCACUUGGAGUAUGUCCCAGUAUCUGGAAGUGAGGCCUGGCCCUGAGAGAAUGGAGGAAAUGAAGAGAAAAGACACCUGUGAGGAGGGUCAAGGGAUUGCACAAGUCCUACUAUUGCUGCUCCAACAACACCAGGCCUUUGGUAACAGGGACCAGCUGACCAUCCUGUGGUCUUGGAACAGCUUCCCACUGAUGGAAGAGCAUGUAUGGAAUCUGGAACAAUCUAGAAAACUUUGUAAGACUCCCAGGAGUCUCAGGAAGAAGCACCAAUAG